UGAAGAUGGCAUCCCUGCAGUCGAUGGUUUUCCCUUUGCCGUCCGUCAGCCUGCCCUCAUCGAAGAGCUGCAGCAUGAUGGUGAGCACGUCCGGGUGGGCUUUGUCCACCUCAUCGAAGAGCACCACGGCGUUGGGGCACUGCCGCAGCUUCUUGGUCAGCUGCCCGCCCUCCUCGUGGCCCACGUAGCCCGGGGGGGAGCCGAUGAAUUUGGCCACCUCGUGCCUCUCCUGGAACUCCGACAUGUCCAGCCUGAUGAAACCCUUCUUCACAUCCUUGUGGAUGUACUUGGCCGUCUGCUUGGCCAGCUCCGUUUUACCUAUCCCAGAUGAUCCCAAGAAGAGGAAGACCAGCGGGUGCUCCUCGUCGUACCAGCCGUUCUCCUUCCUCCGAAUAGCUGCC
rnacentral:lncRNA from 1 species